UACGUAGGGGGCAAGCGUUGUCCGGAAUCAUUGGGCGUAAAGAGCGUGUAGGCGGCUCGAUAAGUCUGCUGUGAAAGUCCAGGGCUCAACCCUGGAAGGCCGGUGGAAACUGUCGGGCUAGAGUCCGGAAGAGGCGAGUGGAAUUCCCGGUGUAGCGGUGAAAUGCGCAGAUAUCGGGAGGAACACCAAUGGCGAAGGCAGCUCGCUGGGACGGUACUGACGCUGAGGAGCGAAAGCGUGGGUAGCAAACAGG
rnacentral:rRNA from 1 species